CAGCCAUGGGUGGUUCCAGUGCUCCUAUUUGAAGCGUGUGUAAUAAAAAGCUGGAUCAUAGGGAAGAGAGCUACAUCUGGAAAAUGCACUGCGCACAAUGUCUGUGUUCUGCACUGUGAAAGCUGAGUCCAGAGACAAUUUAAAGGAAAAUAAUUGCAGAAAACAAAUAAAGCUGAAUUUAUAAAAGUCGAAGGAAUAGAAGACAUCAGGCAGCAACCUGUUGGACAGAAAUUGAAGUGUCAUCUGAAGAUCGUCUAUUACAUUUCAUUCCUUUUGCCUGUCUGAAAGAAACUGCGCAUAUAUAGCAUUUUUGGACAUUAAUUUUGAAUAACAUAGACAUAAUAGUGGUAUGCAAAAAGAAUAA